AGCCGGGUCCUGCGCAACGGAAACUUGCGAACCCCGCCAGGUCCGGAAGGAAGCAACGGCAGCAAGGCCUUUCGUGUGCCGCAGGGGCGCCUGGCUAUC
rnacentral:SRP_RNA from 1 species